CAUGUACUCCCUCCGUCCCACAAUAAGUGACUCAAAAAUGACUCAACUUCACACUAACUUUAGUACAAAGUUGAGUCAUGUUUGAGUCACUUAUUUUGGGACGGAGGGAGUAUAUC
rfam:Hordeum vulgare subsp. vulgare, WGS project CAJW01000000 data, contig: morex_contig_2148342